CAGAGCAUACAGAAAAACACCACAAACAAACACACAUCCUCUCUCCCUCUCUCUCACACACACACGCACGCGCACCGUUCACGCUCAUUUGCAAAGACUCUAAAUAACGAGUGCUCCAAGCCCUCCUGUCAGCUCCAAUUCAUUCAGUAAUUGGCAGACGACAAACCAUACUCAGUAUUGACGUCACUGCCUGGCGGUUUCUCAGAAGCCUGCCCCCACACAGCGAAGUGAGAAUCCCUACUUCCGUCUGUCUAUCACGCUCUGUAGAGAAAAACUGACACAGAACUGCCGGAAGGAGGGAGGUACAAGGAUGGGAAGGGGGGAUGCACACCAUUAACAUACCGCGCCGCCCACCUGCCACCGUUUGGGUCACGUGAUGUUUCUACCUGAAAACUGGGAAGUAAGGAAGCGAUGAGCAAAAUUGCUGAUAAGACUUGUGGUGCUGGUGCUGGCGACAGACAAUUGUGAGGACAGAUACAUCGACAGCAUAUUGGUGCUGCAGGGCUAAAACGCCUCUCAUCACGACAUGAAGAAUCGGGUGUCCGGGGGUCGGUUCUCGGCUCCGACACUCCUUUUUUUUUGGGGGGGGGGGAUGUCAUAUCUGGUAGCAGGGCUGACUGUCAGUGUGGUUUUUAUUCUAGUUUUUACCUCCUCCUCCUCCUCCUCUUCUUCUUCCUCCUCCGCCUCCUCCUCCUCCUCCCUAAGUGAAUAGCUCAGUGAUUGGAGCGCUGGCGUUCAAACCGAGUGGUGUCACGAUUCAAUCCCCGUGUGGCGCAGCAAACUUCCCCCAGUGAAAUCAGCUGUCGAGAAUAGGUACCCGACUCUAUAGAGGGUUGGGGAAGGUAGGUAAGGUGACGAGAGAAACAAUCAAAGUCAGCCCUACCCUCACAUAAAGCUAACGCCGAUAGAAGUACAUUACACUUCACUCCCUUACGACCUGAAAAGGUUAGGGGAUGACCUUUACUCUCUUUCUCUCUCUCACACACACACACAUGCGUUUGUGCGUUCGUAUACGCGUGCUUGCAUCUUAACGUCCUGUGAUGUGUUGAAGUGACAAGUGUCAAGUGUUCUGCAGUCUAAGAGCCUGGUGUGACAUCAGUUAACGAUAAGCGGCUUACGGUCCCUGACGAUGACCGGUGAGUUUCGGCGGCUGACAGGAAAGUCGGUGCUGAUAUCAUUCGUCAACAGUUGCUCACAGGAGUGCUGUUCCCCGUGCUUACAUAUCCAUGCCCCUACUCUAAGCCCUCAUCUUCCGCUACAGAGAAGCUGCCAGACUUAGGGAUACUUUUCUCGGAAACUCGCGUGAAUGCCACGAGAUUAAACGACAGAGAGAAAGAGACUAGAGUCGAAAAAGAGAUUUGACAAACAGCCAAAAAAAUAUUCCAGUAGAAAUAGGCGACAUAAGAUAACAGUGUAACAAUACCUUGCAGUAAGAAAAGAAAUUAUUUCUUUGGGAAGAAAAAAAAUCAGGAAUCACAAGAUGAAGAACUGUUUAUUUAAGAUGCUUAGUCCAGAUUUCCAUUAAUUUCUGUUUUAUCAAUAAUUAAAUUGAUGUUUAUACCUCGCUUAUCCCUUGAAUAACAGUCAUAAAUUGUUGUACCUUCCUCUGAAAAAUCCCAGAUAAAGUGCAAACAAAUAUUACAAUCAGAUUGGCUUGAUGACAGAGCAUCCUUUAAACAUUGAUGAAACAUUUCCCAGCUGCCAACCUGGCGAGUGGGUGAGUGAGUGUGUGUCAAGGGGGAUGAGGGGCAGAGAAGCGAAAAAAAAGGGGCUAAGGUUAGGUGAUGGAGGAUACAAGUGAAGUAUUAACCAUAAACGUGUAGGUGUUUUCGGGAAAGAUGCGUUAUAAUUAAAAAUGUCCACAUCCUGAUUUUAAUGGUGUAGUAAACAGAGCACAGGCGCCGAGUUUGAAACAUCUUUUAUUUGACAUGAAACUGUUUGUGUCAAGAUCGUGAAUCGAGUGCUCUAGAUAAGGGCGGGUGAGAAUGACAGACCGACGUACGCGUGGCCUGACGGGAGUUCACGCCAGGGAGUGCUGGCCCCGCGCGCCGACCAAUACAGUUGAGCGGCUCGAACGGCGGGGAAUCCCCUUCCGUAGAGGUGGGGCUCAAACUAGGUCAGGUCAUGGCAAGGCCGCAGACAUGCAUACGUCACCGAAAGGUCAAAGCCCGCUGGCGGGUCGCCGACUGCGAUAGCGGCUCUCUCUCUCACUUCCCUCCCCCCUUCUCUCUCUCUCACACACAUGUACAGACACACGUACAAACACCCACGCACGCGUCUAACAGGUAAACUCAUGCGUUCACAGUUUUCUCUCCUUUUCCUCCCUCUCUCUCUCUCACAGACACGUGCAAGUGUGCACACACACAUACACAUGGAGCUCGCGCAGCUGUACACAACGUGAUUUUAUUCGUCUGUGAGAUUAUUCUUUCUGUUUAUCAAAACAUGUGGUGCGGAGGCGGCUCGUAAAUCACCAGCUCGUUGACACUGAUAUUAAGGCAAUUAAAUGUCCUGCACUUGGAAGUGGGGUGAAGAGAGUCGUCGGGCAAUAUAUCAUGAUUAUGUACGUGGUUGUUAUCGUCUUCAUUAUCAUUGUCGUAUUCAUCGUCGUCGUCAGUAUUGUAAUUCUUCCACCACCACCACCACACCACCACCAACACAUCUAACUGUAGUAGUUACGUGUGCGUGUUUUAGAUGGAGUUGCUGGUCAGUGUGUUUGUUGUUGGUCAGUGUGUUUGUACACAACAACAUUUACUAAACUGUUCCUGUGCUUACUGUAGUAUAUCUACAACAACAUCCACCCCUUACUGUUGGCUGACUCUAUUUCUGGAUUGCUAUUGAAAAACGAGAUGAACGAGGGGCUACAACCUCUGUCAUCACUCUGUCUAUUAUAGUGCAUGUUCGAAUUUUUUUUUUUUUCUCUGCCGUGGCUGCUUUUCUUGCUUUGUAGCUACAAUUGUUAUUACUAAUAUAUACUAACUCUAAGUACAAUAUAGUAGGACAUAGCUUCCCUUUAAAGAAAAUUUUAAAGAGGUUAAAUAGUUCGUACUUCAUACACUUUUAUUUUAGACAUUUUUUUUUUUCAUCUUAGCUGCAUAAGGACAGCAUGAAGGACGCACGUGAAAAGAAAAACAAAUGAAUAAAAAAGGAAUAAAAAGUUAGAGCAGACGUCAGACUUCCAUGAGGUGACGCUCAUCUUGUCAUCAUUCACAGGUGAAGUCUGUUGCACUUUUUGUUUUUAAUAGGUUGGGGUUGGGGCCCUCCACCGCAUUUUAUGGCUGGCAAGAUGCUCCGGGGAAGGGGAAAGAAAAUUAUGGGAGAAUGGUACAGCGCUGGAAUUUCCCCGCGCACCGCGUGCGUCACAGUGCUCGUGAUGUCACGCGGUUCAAGGUCGUCGCAGAAAUACGAGCAAGAUGGAUGUCUUUGGUUGUGGAAUGUGUAGCGCGGGUCUUGGCGCCUGAUCAAGAACAUGUUCGCGCGUGACUCAGCAGCGAGACUGGAUUUUAUCCUGUGAUCUCUUUUCCACGAACAAUUUAUCUCUAACCCGCUUUUGUCACGAAAUAAAGCUGUGGGAUGCUUGCAGCCUUCCCACCAUCUUCUUGAGACGGCUUAGGGAUGUCAAAUGAUGGCAGGUAAAAUGAUCUUCUGGAGGUAUAACAUUGUAAUCCACUCGACCCACAAGUCAUUACUCAUCCUCUUUCUGUCAUGCACGUAAGUAGAUAUUAAAACACAUGUGCACGUACACACCAGAAAAACAAGUUUCAAACAUGCGUACAUCUCUCUUACACAAGAUGCAAACCUACUCCCCUUUCUCUCACACACUUUGUAAGCUCACGUACAAAUCACGUACAUAUCACGUACAUAUCACGUAAGCACGCAUAUACGCACCAACAGGUGCAAACACACGUAAGCACAUAAAAAGAUCAACAGAAAAACAAAUCAAUGAAUCACCGAUGAAAUCGACAAACACUCCUGAUUUCAGAACCCUCCACCUUUUCUCUCCACCCCCUUCCAGUCACGCAGCGGAUCACGUGACCAGACACGCAUUGUUCUGGCCAACUCAUGUUGUCAACAUUGACCUAUGUCGGCGUUAGUGAGAGGACAACAAGUCCUUUGUGCGUGUUUAGCUUUCUCCACGCCCCGUCACACUGGAAACCCCCGCUACCUCCUGUCAAAGGCGACGACGCCCGGUGUACCUGCGAAAUGUUUGUACCACGUUUAAAGAUAGCAUAAUGAGGCUAAGAUUAGAACUUGGCAGCCAGCCUCGUCACGUCGUAACGGGGUCUCCCACCCCCCUGGCCACCAGACUGGCAUGCCGGGGGUCUGAGAUGCUUACAUCUAUACUCAGUCCCUGACCCCUUUCCCAUUUUCCCGAAAUGAAAGCCCAACUCGUUUUUUCCACAUCAACCGUCGCAUGAUGCGGGCCUUUGUUUAUACGGGUGACAUCACUGCGUACCAGAAAACCCCACUCGGUGACCUCAUGGGUCAAGUAUUGACCUACGGAAUUCAGUGGUGACAGUUUUCUUGAAUGAAGUAAUGUGGUGAAUAACAGCACUGCGAACAUGACGAGUUUGUGUGUAUCUACCUUUUGCGUAUAUAUAUAUUAAAACAAACAAGAAGGGAAGAGGAGGAGAAAUAGUUUGAAAGUGAGAAUAUUACUAUUAACGGUACUAACAAUAGCAGUGUUAGUGUUAGAGACAGUAAUGAACUUUGUAAUUGUAAUUAUUCAUGCAGUUGAAUACAACCUAAAGUCACCUCACCUGAUAAGCUCAAAUCAGUGAAAAAAAUCUUUGCAGUCACUGCCAGGCUACCUGAGUAUAUGACGACAGACCAACCUCAGUUGCUUCCUGGCUCAUACAUAAAUCUACCGACAUUUGUAAACAUAACUUACCGACCUACAUUUAUAAACGUCACCUACCUACAUUAGUAAACGUCACCUAUACCUACAUUUAUAAACGUCACCUACCUACAUUUGUAAAUAUAACCUAUACCUACAUUUAUAAGCGUACUAUACCUAUUAUUGUAAACGCAACCUAUACCUACAUUUGUAAACGUCACCUACCGACAUUUGUGCACGUAACCUAUACCUACUUGCUCUCUAGCUCCGCUUCCUGUUUCUCGUGCCUUUUGUUCCCUCCCCCUUCCUGUGUGUUGAGUUUUAUUUUCGGAUAUCAGCUUUCUUCUUCCGUGUCCUUCUUUCAUUUUUAACCCUGUCCCGCUGUACCGAUACAGAAGUACAUGUAUUACAGAAUGUUUCUGUUCAUGGCAAGUUAAUACUCUUGUUACUGGCUUGUAUCCUGUAAUAAAUACAUCAUCUUUCUUUCGUUGCCCCAUGCUAGCAGCUGUUACAUUAUUCAGCACUGAACAUACCAGAACAAUAAGCUUGAUCACCCACACAAACAAAGUCAUGUUGAAAGUAAUACAGAAUGGCACCAGCACUACUGUUGAGAAAUUCCUAGCAGGACAAACUGUCUUCAGACCAGGUAGGAGCUCAGUUGAGCAGAUCGUCAACUGUCGCAUCCUGAGAGAGAAGUAUGUUCUGUAUCAGUGGGACCUCUAGUAAAACUUCAUAGAUUUUAAGAAAGCUUUUGACAGAGUCUGGAACGAAGGACUGUGGCAUGUGAUGCGAAAAUUCAGCAUCAAAGGUCUCGUCCAAGUUAUCAAAGAGCUGUAUAAGAGUCUGAAGAGGCUGCUCCGCUCGUUGGACACCAGGAACCUCUAACUGUAACAAUCAAGUGGAAUAAGUUACUUCUAGCUUGGCUUUGUGACCGGUCGCGACACUUUGUCGAAAUCAGUCCUUCAAGAUAGCUAGGAGGGAGGUUAGAAGACGGUUGCCAGAGGAAGAACUGGCUUACGAACGCGAAGGAUUGUACUUUGUUCUGUGCAGGACCACUUGCGCCCACUACAUGCGGGUGGCGGGCCUGAUGAGUCUGUUCAUGUACUACCCCGCCACGACCAAAACCAGUCAAAGGACUGAAUGAAGUAUGCUGUCGAGAUGUUCUGUGCUCAUCAGUACUGUGGCUCCUACAAACAGUCAAGCAUAAACAGCAAGGAUAAUUCAAUGUGCAUCAUUUGUCCACCACAAUGUAGGUGCCACACCGUACCCGUUUUGCUGUGAAUCUGGGUUUCUAUAAUGUAGAAAACGUUUUUUCUACUUUUGGUUAAGUUGCUAAGACCACCAACAGUAUCACUUUCCCACCAAGACCCAGGAAAAUGCAAAUGGGCCUCGAGAGAGAAUUUAUCACCUUCUGUCGAGGACUCAACCUAAUCUCAAAGGGGUGACCAGGGACACGUACCCCACAUGCAAGAAGAGGCAACAGCCUCGGACAAACAGAAACUCGCCACUUUCCCAAUCUGCGUGCUGGCGACUGGAAGUCCGUCUCGAGGAGAAGUAAGAAAGUGUUGUUUGGUGGACUCAUUGUAUAUAUAUAUAGUCGAUGGGAAGUCUACACCAGCGCCAGGUUGUAUUGCUGUCAUGAGAAAAGAACUGUGAAUUGUGGACUGUGAACUGUGAACAUUGCGUGAGGCGAGCGACGUCGCAGAAAGAUAAGUUAUAAAAGUGCAAGUCUGGACCUAGAUGUAAACGAUUACUUUUAUAUGUACUGUUCUGUUGCAUCUUUCUUCUGAAUUACAUUCUUUUAUUGUACAAUUAUAUAUAUUUAGAGAUUUAUUCUAUUGAUUUUGUGAAUGAAGAUAGGACAGAUGUACUCCUACGUGUACAUUACAUACCAGAUGUAUCUACUGUAGGGGGUUCUUGUUUUCACCAAUUCAUCAGAAGGGGAGUGGGGAGGUUAAUUCAGAUGGCACGUAUAGAAAAACAUUUGUCUUAAAGGCAAAAUCCGAAUGUUAGCAAUCAUCGCUGCCUUGCCGACAAAUGCUCUACUGUUGCGCCACCAGGCCUUCCAACGCAUGAGAAUGUCUGUAAGAAUUUAUGUUUUGUAUUUGUUAAUGCACGAGCCUUACAAAUUACAAACAUCCCUGAAAACGCCUUGGUCUUUAACUCAAACGGAUUCUCAUUGCGAUUUUUUUCUACAGGGGUACAGACUGUGUUUUUCAAAAUUUAUUCCAUCUUUUAUCAGGAGAAAACUUUAAGGAAAACAGAAGAAAAAAUAAAAAAAACAACAACAACAAACAAAACAUGUGAAGCAUUGAAAUUGGGGAUGCACGACUGCUUUACGGCGCAUGCGUAAUGAGACUAAUUUGGUGUAAUCAGACCGAUUCAAAGCGCAUGGCAAUUAUGGACGCCUCCAAACCUGCCCAGUCUUGUGUGCCCAACGGUGGAAUGCCUGGUGACAGGACAUAAUGGAGGACUGGGUGCUAAUAAUCUGCAUUCACGGUUUGUGUGAGUCUACAAUCGAAAGAAAACGACAGAGAAGAGCCUCUUGAAAGGAGACUACAAUUAAGCAGCAGACGAUACUGGUAGGGAGUGCGGCUACGUAAUGGAGAAGUCCAGGUGACAGGCCUUGAAGAGACAGGUAGAUAAACAGAGGGAUUUUCGCUGGGACGCAGCCCUCAGCCAAUCAUGUUCACCUGUGACACACGCAUCCUGAUUGUGCGCUAAGGUGUGACCAGUCAUCGGCGACAGACAUAACACGGAGCCAGUGCGACAAGUUGUGUACCAUUGAAAUGUGCAAAGAAACUCCACAAUUCUUCCAGGGGACUAAGGAAUAUGAUGUCAGUGUCAACAUAGAUGAGGGAAUCAAUGUGCAUGAGCAGAGACUGAAAACAGUCAAGAACAAAGUGAAAAUCCUUUGGCCACAAAUCCAGCUGGAACAGAACUAUCAUGUCAGUGAAAGUGUGACACAGAAUGAGUAACAGCUGAAGCAGAGGGAUAGAAAUACUAUUCUCUAAUCCAACUGACCUUCAACUGAAAAAAAUUCUGUAACUCCUUUUCUGAAAAUAUGUGAAAAACAAGUGGAGAGGUUGUAAAAAGCAC
rnacentral:lncRNA from 1 species